CAGCGCCACGAGUGGCAACCGCGAUUAUUGGGCCUAAAGCGUCCGUAGCCGGGUUGAUAAAUCCUUUGUGAAAUUGUACGGCUUAACCGUACAACGUGCAAGGGACACUGUCGACCUCGAGACCGGGAGGAGUCAGAAGUAUUCCAGAGGGAGCGGUAAAAUGUUAUAAUCUCUGGAGGAUUACCUGUGGCGAAGGCGUCUGACCUGAACGGAUCUGACGGUGAGGGACGAAAGCCAGGGGAGCGAACCGGAUUAGAUACCCGAGUAGUCC
rnacentral:rRNA from 1 species